rnacentral:rRNA from 1 species
UACGUAGGGGGCAAGCGUUGUCCGGAAUCAUUGGGCGUAAAGAGCGUGUAGGCGGCCAGAUAAGUCCGCUGUGAAAUCUCGAGGCUCAACUUCGAGCUGUCGGUGGAAACUGUCUGGCUAGAGUCCGGAAGAGGAGAAUGGAAUUCCUGGUGUAGCGGUGAAAUGCGCAGAUAUCAGGAAGAACACCCGUGGCGAAGGCUGUUCUCUGGGACGGUACUGACGCUGAGACGCGAAAGCGUGGGGAGCGAACAGG